rnacentral:misc_RNA from 1 species
AAGUCGUAACAAGGUUUCCGUAGGUGAACCUGCGGAAGGAUCAUUACUGAGACUGGGUGCUUCGGCGCCCGACCUCCAACCCCCUGUCUACCUUACCACUGUUGCCUCGGCGUCUCUGCCCACCUCCCCUCGUGGGUGGUGGGGGGUGCGCGCCGGCGGCCAAAAACAAAAACCCUUUUUUAAAUCAAGCAAUCUGAGAAAUUAUUUUAAUAACUUCAAAACUUUCAACAACGGAUCUCUUGGUUCUG